rnacentral:sRNA from 1 species
UUAUAAACCUGACAGUAGCGAAAAUCCUUUUUGUUUUUCCUCCGUCUUUAAAGAUUGUCGCGUCGUUUCUCCUCGCAAUGACGAUAACAAGCAGAAACCACAAAAAGAUUGAAGCGAAUGGCAGGACUGCAU